AUACGUAGGAUUCGAGCGUUGUCCGGAUUUAUUGGGCGUAAAGGGUGUGUAGGCGGCAUGGCAAGUCUCAUGUGAAAUCUCCCGGCUUAACUGGGAGGGGUCAUGGGAAACUGCCAAGCUGGAGGGCAGCAGAGGAAAGCGGAAUUCCGGGAGUAGUGGUGAAAUGCGUAGAUACCCGGAGGAACACCCGAGGCGAAGGCGGCUUUCUGGGCUGUACCUGACGCUGAGACACGAAAGCGUGGGUAGCAAACCGGAUUAGAAACCCCGGUAGUCC
rnacentral:rRNA from 1 species